rnacentral:rRNA from 1 species
CCUACGGGAGGCUGCAGUGGGGAAUAUUGGACAAUGGGGGCAACCCUGAUCCAGCCAUGCCGCGUGUGUGAAGAAGGCCCUCGGGUUGUAAAGCACUUUCAGUGAGGAAGAACGCCUGGUGGUUAAUACCCAUCAGGAAAGACAUCACUCACAGAAGAAGCACCGGCUAACUCCGUGCCAGCAGCCGCGGUAAUACGGAGGGUGCGAGCGUUAAUCGGAAUUACUGGGCGUAAAGCGCGCGUAGGUGGCUUGAUAAGCCGGUUGUGAAAGCCCCGGGCUCAACCUGGGAACGGCAUCCGGAACUGUCAAGCUAGAGUGCAGGAGAGGAAGGUAGAAUUCCCGGUGUAGCGAUGAAAUGCGUAGAGAUCGGGAGGAAUACCAGUGGCGAAGGCGGCCUUCUGGACUGACACUGACACUGAGGUGCGAAAGCGUGGGUAGCAAACAGGAUUAGAUACCCCGGUAGUC